UACGUAGGGUGCAAGCGUUAAUCGGAAUUACUGGGCGUAAAGCGUGCGCAGGCGGUUAUGUAAGACAGUUGUGACAUCCCCGGGCUCCAACCUGGGAACUGCAUCUGUGACUGCAUAGCUAGAGUACGGUAGAGGGGGGAUGGAAUUCCGCGUGUAGCAGUGAAAUGCGUAGAUAUGCGGAGGAACACCGAUGGCGAAGGCAAUCCCCUGGACCUGUACUGACGCUCAUGCACGAAAGCGUGGGGAGCAAACGAGG
rnacentral:rRNA from 1 species